rnacentral:tRNA from 1 species
GUUUAUAUAGUUUAUAAAAACGUUUCAUUUUCAGUGAAAAAAUAAGAUUUAUCUUUAUAAA